rnacentral:rRNA from 1 species
AGCGAACGCUGGCGGCGUACUUAACACAUGCAAGUCGAACGGGGAUCGACACGUGAGCAAUCACGUGGCGGUCUUAGUGGCGUACGGGUGAGUAACACGUGGGCAACCUGCCCCUUUGAGUCUGGGGAUAACCGUCCCGAAAGGGAGGCUAAUACCGGGAUACGGUCCUCGGGUCGCGAGAUCUGAGGAAGAAAGGUGGCGCAAGGCUACCGCUCUUGGAGGGACUCGCGGCCUAUCAGCUAGUUGGUGAGGUAAUGGCUCACCAAGGCUAUGACGGGUAGCUGGUCUGAGAGGACGACCAG